CCAAAAGUACCCUGUGGCUUCAGAUUCGUGCUGCAGCCUUCAGAUGUGUGCUGUGGCAUACGCAUAUACACACAUGCAGACACCUCUCAUAUACACAAAAAUAGAUUAGUU
rnacentral:miRNA from 1 species